AACGAACGCUGGCGGCAUGCCUAACACAUGCAUGUCGAACGAAGUCUUCGGACUUAGUGGCGAGCGGGUGAGUAACACGUGGGAACGUACCUUUUGGUCGGAACAACUCAGGGAAACUUGAGCUAAUACCGAAUGUGCCCUUCGGGGGAAAGAUUUAUCGCCAUUAGAGCGGCCCGCGUUAGAUUAGCUAGUUGGUGGGG
rnacentral:rRNA from 1 species